ensembl:lncRNA
UUUAAAAUGCAGGUUUCACCUCUGCUUCUUCUUGAUGUAACGUGCUUUAUGGAUGACACGCAAGCAUCUAAGGGUGAGGCAGCGAUGCAUGUCGGUGAAGAAGGCUGAGGGCAACAUGUGGAACAAGUUGGCUGGGAGUGAAAGCUGUUUCUCAGAAUUCACUGGUGGAGGCUGGUGGAAGUUGAAGGCAGAGGAUGUAGAUGGACGUUCGGGUUGCAGGCGCCUACUAGAAUUGUCAAGUGGAGGUGGAGUUUCAGGUCAACGGCGGGGACCAGAGAUGAAGAUUCAGGAAGCCUGCUAGUAUGGAGUAGACUGAAGGCUGGAGGCUGGACCAAGAAGGAGAUUGAGCAGGUUUCAAGAGCUGUCUUCCAGGAUGACAGGUGGAGGCCAGGGGUGGAGGUGGCUGUGGAGGGCUGAAGGAUUUUAGUUGCUAAAGGAGGCUGUAGAAAGAGGUGUGAACUGCAGCUGGCUGCCACAAACAGCAGGUAGAGGAGACACCUGCAGGAGGAGGCUCCUGCAGUUGACUGGCAAAUACUGGAGGUGGAUAUUGGGCCAGCUCUUUCUGCCAAACACUACAGAUGGAGGAAGCCCCUGUAGUAUACUGGCAGAGGCUGUAGGUGGACGUUUGGCCUCUCAGUGGGUGUUUGCCAGUAAAAUGCAGGCGUAGGAGGCUCCAGUAGUUUACUGGCAGAUGUAGGUGGAGGCUUGGCCAGCAGCUGCCUGCCAAACGCUACAGAGGUUUGGUCUGCAGCAGUCUGCCAGAAUAUACAGAAGGGGGACACACCUGCAGUAUAUUGGCAUGGGCUCCAGGUGGAGGUUUGGACUGAAGCAGUCUGCAAGUAAAAUACAGGUGGAGGAGACACCUGCAGUCUACUGCUAGAGGCUUCGGGCUUUAGGUACACACAUUUCAACUGCAAUGAACUGCAGGAGGAGGCUCCUGCAGUUCACUGGCAAAUACUGGAGGUGGAUAUUGGGCCAGCUCUUUCUGCCAAACACUACAGAUGGAGGAAGCCCCUGUAGUAUACUGGCAGAGGCUGUAGGUGGACGUUUGGCCUCUCAGUGUCUGCCAGUAAAAUGCAGGCGGAGGAGGCUCCCGCAGUUUACUGGCAGAGGUUGUAGGUGGAGGUUUGGCCUGCAGACAAAAAGAAGGUGGGCCCUGCAGUUUGCUGGCAGAGGCUGUGGAUUGUAGAUGUUAAGCCGAAUUUUAAAGUGGAGGUGAUUUUCAAGUCAACGGAACGGACCAGAGAUGGGGGUUCAGGAGGCUUGCUUGUCUUUAGAAGGCUGGACACCUCCUUUACUGGCAGGGUGAAGGAUCAGGCCUGGAGUUGGACCAAGCUGAAUUGACAGGUGCAGAUCAGGGAUGGAGGCUGUUAUGGAGUGCCGGCGGAUGAAAGUUGUUGAAAGUGGCCAGGGGAUUUGGUAUGUAAGUCGGCCUGUACAGUGCAGACGGAGGAUGCACCUAAGUUUCGUGGCAGAGGGUGUUGGUGGAGGCUUGGCCUGUAGCUGUCGACCAGUAAAAUGCAGUGGAGGCGGCAUCUGUGGUUUACUGGCAGAGGGUGUGGGUGGAGGUUCUGAAUAAUAUUGUCUGCAACAAUCUGCAGGUGGAGGCAGCACCUGCAGUUUAAUGCCGCAAGCUGUCAGUGGAGGUUUGAGUUUGCAGGUGGAACUGGAUACUUCUGGUAGAGCAUAUUAAAGCAGCUGUCUGCUGCCUGCUAGCGGAGGCUAGGACAGCAGAUGGCUGACAUAAUAUGAAAGUAAGAUUAAGUGCUUUUAAGUGAAAGAAGGUGCUUUGAACAGACCUUUGUUGAGGAUUGCACAGGCACUUCAGAUGCAGUAAGUGGAGAUAAUCGUGUUCCUGUCUUACAGAAUUGGAAGGUUGGAGCAUUAAUACAGAAAUACUAUCAAAUCAAAAAUAUACAACUAAAUACAACUUAAUACAGCUUAAUACAACUUAAUUAUUACAACAUGUAAAUUAUUUUAAUUUAAGUAAGUGAUUUCAAACUCAGAUAAAGUCCUUUCAAAAGAAUAAACAUUCUUAUUUGGAUCAUAGUGUUGAAUAUUACCUGGAGCUUCAGUGUUUCUGUUGCACCACCCAGCUGUCAAACUGGUCCCGCCACUCUAGAUAAAGCCUCAUGUCUAC